AACAUGUCUUUUUGAAAUUAAUUUAAAGUYUGAUCUGCUCCAUGAUAAUUAUUAAAUAGCUGCAGAAUUUUAACUGUACAAAGGUAGCAUAAUCAAUAGUUUUUUAAUUGAAAGCUGGAAUGAAUGAUUUAAUAAAGUAAUUAUUGUCUCAAAUUUAAUAAAAUUAUAAUUUUUUUUUUAGUAAAAAUACUAAAAAUUAUUUAAAGGACGAGAAGACCCUAUAGAUUUUUAUAUUUUAAAUUAAAUUAAUUUAAAUAAAUUAAUAAAUUUUAAUUGAAAAAUAUUUGAUUGGGGUAAUUAUUAAAUUUAUAAAAUUUUAAUUAAUUAAAACCUAAAAUUAUAGAAUUUUUGAUCUUAAUUUUUUAAAUUAUUAGAAUAAAUUACCUUAGGGAUAACAGCGUAAUUUUUUUUGAGAGAUCUUAUUAAUAAAAAAGUUUGCGACCUCGAUGUUGAAUUAAGAUAAAAUUUUAAUGAAGAAGUUAAAAAUAUUUGGUCUGUUCGACCAUUAAAAUCUUACGUGA
rnacentral:rRNA from 1 species